GGACUACCCGGGUAUCUAAUCCCAUUCGCUACCCACGCUUUCGUCCUAGCAGUGUCAGGUGGCACCCAGAAGCCUGCCUACGCUAUUGGUGUUCCGAACGAUAUCAACGCAUUUCACUACUACACCGUUCGUUCCAGCUUCCUCUUUGCCCCUCUAGUUUGAAAGUUCCAAAUGACAGAUCCCAAGUUAAGCUUGGGGAUUUCACAUCUGGCUUUUCAAACCACCUGUCGGUACGCUUUACGCCCAAUAAUUCCGGAUAACGCUUGAGGUCUCUGUAUUACCGCGGCUGCUGGCAC
rnacentral:rRNA from 1 species